rnacentral:rRNA from 1 species
AGCUAGUUGGUAGGGUAAUGGCCUACCAAGGCGACGAUGGUUAGCUGGUCUGAGAGGAUGAUCAGCCACACUGGAACUGAGACACGGUCCAGACUCCUACGGGAGGCAGCAGUGAGGAAUAUUGCGCAAUGGGGGCAACCCUGACGCAGCAACGCCGCGUGAGUGAGGAAGGUUUUCGGACCGUAAAGCUCUGUCGAGCGGGAAGAAAUGCAUGGUGGCUAAUAUCCAUCAUGCUUGACGGUACCGCUAAAGGAAGCACCGGCUAACUCCGUGCCAGCAGCCGCGGUAAUACGGGGGGUGCGAGCGUUGUUCGGAAUUAUUGGGCGUAAAGAGCGUGUAGGCGGCCGAAUAAGCCAGAUGUGAAAUCCCUGGGCUUAACCCAGGACGUGCAUUUGAAACUAUUCGGCUAGAGUAGGGGAGAGGAAAGUGGAAUUCCUGGUGUAGAGGUGAAAUUCGUAGAUAUCAGGAGGAACACCGGUGGCGAAGGCGACUUUCUGGCCCUAUACUGACGCUGAGACGCGAGAGCGUGGGUAGCAAACAGGAUUAGAUACCCUGGUAGUCCACGCUGUAAACGAUGUUCACUAGGUGUUGGGGGUAUUGACCCUCUCAGUGCCGCAGCUAACGCA